UCAUUUCCUCCACACAGAACUAAAGAGGUGGCCGUUUGUAUUUUCCUCCACUUCACUUCCUCCUCCUGAAUCACAAUGAUCCCAGGCUUCACCUCCUUCACUCUCUUUGUGCUUUGGGCUGCAGAUGUGUGUCAGUCGGUGCUCAUCACUCAGUGGCCUCACUACAUCUCCAGGCUUCCCAACGGUUCGGCAGAAAUGCACUGCUACCAGAACGAAACCAACUAUGAUUAUGUGUACUGGUACCGGCAGCAGAGAGGACAGGGUUUUCAGUUAGUGGCGUAUAUGGUAGCUGGCUUUGCAAACUAUGAAGAAGGGUUUACAUCUGGUUACCAGGCAGUGAAAGUGAAGGAGAAGCAGCUGUGGUCUCUGAGCAUCAGCAGCGUUCAGGAGGAAGACGAGGCUGUUUAUCUGUGCGCUGCCAGUCUGCACAGUGCUGCCACAGACCUCAGGCCUGCACAAAAACUCACUGCCACACGAGAGGCUGCCUGACGAACAGCCAUCAUGUUUAAAUACAGGAACUCUUAUGUUAAAAGGACAUAUCAGUGACUAGAAAGUGAGGAGGAGAGGAAUGUAUGAAGGAAAAGGAAA